rnacentral:rRNA from 1 species
CCCUUAGAUGUUCUGGGCUGCACACGCGCUACACUGAAGGGAUCAGCGUGUUCUUUUCCUGGUCCGAAAGGAUCGGGUAACCCGCUGAACCCCCUUCGUGGUAGGGAUCGGAGCUUGCAAUUAUUCUCCGUGAACCAGGAAUUCCCAGUAAGCGCAGGUCAUAAGCUUGCGUUGAUUACGUCCCUGCCCUUUGUACACACCGCCCGUCGCUACUACCGAUUGGACGUUUUAGUGAGGAUUUUGGACUGAGCCAAUGGUGGUUCACACCACUGUUGUGCAUGGAAAGAUCUCCAAACUUGAGCGUUUAGAGGAAGUAAAAGUCGUAACA